rnacentral:rRNA from 1 species
UACAGAGGGUGCAAGCGUUGUUCGGAAUCAUUGGCGUAAAGCGCGUGUAGGCGGUCCGGUAAGUCCGCUGUGAAAGUCGGGGGCUCAACCCUCGAAUGCCGGUGGAUACUGUCGGGCUAGAGUGCGGAAGAGGCGAGUGGAAUUCCUGGUGUAGCGGUGAAAUGCGCAGAUAUCAGGAGGAACACCUAUUGCGAAGGCAGCUCGCUGGGACGUAACUGACGCUGAGACGCGAAAGCGUGGGGAGCAAACAGG